UGGGGAAUAUUGGACAAUGGGCGAAAGCCUGAUCCAGCCAUGCCGCGUGAGUGAUGAAGGCCCUAGGGUUGUAAAGCUCUUUUAACGGGGAAGAUAAUGACGGUACCCGUAGAAUAAGCCCCGGCUAACUUCGUGCCAGCAGCCGCGGUAAUACGAAGGGGGCUAGCGUUGCUCGGAAUCACUGGGCGUAAAGCGCACGUAGGCGGACUCUUAAGUCGGUGGUGAAAUCCUGGAGCUCAACUCCAGAACUGCCUUCGAUACUGGGAGUCUCGAGUUGGGGAGAGGUGAGUGGAACUGCGAGUGUAGAGGUGAAAUUCGUAGAUAUUCGCAAGAACACCAGUGGCGAAGGCGGCUCACUGGCCCGAUACUGACGCUGGGGUGCGAAAGCGUGGGGAGCAAACA
rnacentral:rRNA from 1 species